UUGAACGCUGGCGGCAGGCCUAACACAUGCAAGUCGAGCGGUAGCACAGAGAGCUUGCUCUCGGGUGACGAGCGGCGGACGGGUGAGUAAUGUCUGGGAAACUGCCUGAUGGAGGGGGAUAACUACUGGAAACGGUAGCUAAUACCGCAUAACGUCGCAAGACCAAAGUGGGGGACCUUCGGGCCUCAUGCCAUCAGAUGUGCCCAGAUGGGAUUAGCUGGUAGGUGGGGUAACGGCUCACCUAGGCGACGAUCCCUAGCUGGUCUGAGAGGAUGACCAGCCACACUGGAACUGAGACACGGUCCAGACUCCUACGGGAGGCAGCAGUGGGGAAUAUUGCACAAUGGGCGCAAGCCUGAUGCAGCCAUGCCGCGUGUGUGAAGAAGGCCUUCGGGUUGUAAAGCACUUUCAGCGGGGAGGAAGGCGGUGAGGUUAAUAACCUCAUCGAUUGACGUUACCCGCAGAAGAAGCACCGGCUAACUCCGUGCCAGCAGCCGCGGUAAUACGGAGGGUGCAAGCGUUAAUCGGAAUUACUGGGCGUAAAGCGCACGCAGGCGGUCUGUCAAGUCGGAUGUGAAAUCCCCGGGCUCAACCUGGGAACUGCAUUCGAAACUGGCAGGCUAGAGUCUUGUAGAGGGGGGUAGAAUUCCAGGUGUAGCGGUGAAAUGCGUAGAGAUCUGGAGGAAUACCGGUGGCGAAGGCGGCCGCCUGGACAAAGACUGACGCUCAGGUGCGAAAGCGUGGGGAGCAAACAGGAUUAGAUACCCUGGUAGUCCACGCUGUAAACGAUGUCGAUUUGGAGGUUGUGCCCUUGAGGCGUGGCUUCCGGAGCUAACGCGUUAAAUCGACCGCCUGGGGAGUACGGCCGCAAGGUUAAAACUCAAAUGAAUUGACGGGGGCCCGCACAAGCGGUGGAGCAUGUGGUUUAAUUCGAUGCAACGCGAAGAACCUUACCUGGUCUUGACAUCCACAGAACUUUCCAGAGAUGGAUUGGUGCCUUCGGGAACUGUGAGACAGGUGCUGCAUGGCUGUCGUCAGCUCGUGUUGUGAAAUGUUGGGUUAAGUCCCGCAACGAGCGCAACCCUUAUCCUUUGUUGCCAGCGGUCCGGCCGGGAACUCAAAGGAGACUGCCAGUGAUAAACUGGAGGAAGGUGGGGAUGACGUCAAGUCAUCAUGGCCCUUACGACCAGGGCUACACACGUGCUACAAUGGCAUAUACAAAGAGAAGCGACCUCGCGAGAGCAAGCGGACCUCAUAAAGUAUGUCGUAGUCCGGAUUGGAGUCUGCAACUCGACUCCAUGAAGUCGGAAUCGCUAGUAAUCGUAGAUCAGAAUGCUACGGUGAAUACGUUCCCGGGCCUUGUACACACCGCCCGUCACACCAUGGGAGUGGGUUGCAAAAGAAGUAGGUAGCUUAACCUUCGGGAGGGCGCUUACCACUUUGUGAUUCAUGACUGGGGUG
rnacentral:rRNA from 1 species